rnacentral:rRNA from 1 species
AUGGUUCUUUCUGUCAAUAUGAAAGCGUACAUGGUCUUAUCUGACAAAAAUUCCCAGUCUGACGUGCACGAAUUGCAUAGUGCUGACAGGAGAUGUAACUGGUUGGAUCAUGCUUGGAUGAUGCAUUCAUUCGAUAAUAAUCUCAAGGAAAGCUUGCAUCAACAAAACUGGAGUAAAUAUUUUCAAGCAUUGUUUUGGGGGAAGUUGUUCCAUGUCAUUUUCUUGAUCACCUCAAUGGAGGUCCCACUGAAAAGGAACAUCAUAUUUUUUGAUCAGCUCAAUGGAGGAGCCAUGAUACCUGCUGUGAAGCUCUCUCCGGCCGCCUUCUCUGUCACCAAUCAACGGUCUAAAUCAGCUUUGGUUCCGUCGGUGUCCAUUCUCAACAUGAAACAAAUUGCCUCCUGCUCCCUUAGACCACUCUACCUCACACGGCUAGAUGACCCACACACUUCCGAGCUGAAGCCUCGGAGGCAGCUGCUUGACUUCAGGUGUGCAGCUUCAGCGGCUGAUGACAAGGAGUCGAAGGCUGAGGUGGUGCCAGCCAGCUCAGAAGCAGCACAAAAGUUGAAGAUCUCAAUCUAUUUUGCGACUUGGUGGGCGCUUAAUGUGAUCUUUAACAUCUAUAACAAGAAGGUUCUCAAUGCUUUCCCGUAUCCCUGGCUCACCUCCACACUAUCCCUCGCCUGUGGCUCAGCGAUGAUGCUCUUCUCAUGGGUCACCUGCCUAGUUGAGGCCCCCAAGACUGACUUAGAUUUCUGGAAAGCACUCUUCCCGGUUGCUGUGGCUCAUACAAUUGGACAUGUUGCUGCCACAGUGAGCAUGUCAAAGGUGGCAGUGUCAUUCACACACAUUAUCAAGAGUGCUGAGCCUGCAUUCAGUGUUUUGGUGUCAAGGUUCAUUCUCGGAGAGUCAUUUCCGAUGCCUGUAUAUCUUUCUCUUCUCCCGAUCAUUGGUGGUUGUGGUCUAGCUGCUGCGACAGAGCUGAACUUUAAUAUGAUUGGAUUUAUGGGUGCCAUGAUAUCGAACCUUGCAUUUGUUUUCCGCAACAUCUUCUCGAAGCGGGGCAUGAAAGGGAAGUCUGUCAGUGGCAUGAAUUACUACGCUUGCCUUUCAAUUAUGUCCCUGAUCAUACUCGCACCAUUUGCUAUUGCUAUGGAAGGCCCCCAAAUGUGGGCCGCUGGAUGGCAAAAGGCUCUUGCAGAUGUUGGCCCCAACGUUCUCUGGUGGAUUGGUGCACAGAGCGUUUUCUACCACCUGUAUAACCAGGUGUCCUACAUGUCUUUGGACCAGAUUUCUCCAUUGACGUUUAGCAUUGGCAAUACAAUGAAGCGCAUAUCAGUUAUUGUUUCGUCAAUCAUUAUCUUCCGUACACCUGUCCGCCCUGUAAAUGCACUAGGAGCUGCCAUUGCCAUCUUUGGCACAUUCCUGUACUCUCAGGCAAAGCAGUGA